UACGGAGGGUGCAAGCGUUAUCCGGAUUCACUGGGUUUAAAGGGUGCGUAGGUGGGCAGUUAAGUCAGUGGUGAAAUCUCCGGGCUCAACCCGGAAACUGCCAUUGAUACUAUCUGUCUUGAAUAUCGUGGAGGUAAGCGGAAUAUGUCAUGUAGCGGUGAAAUGCUUAGAUAUGACAUAGAACACCAAUUGCGAAGGCAGCUUACUACCCGAAUAUUGACACUGAGGCACGAAAGCGUGGGGAUCGAACAGG
rnacentral:rRNA from 1 species